rnacentral:rRNA from 1 species
UCUACGGGACGCAGCAGUAGGGAAUAUUGCACAAUGGGCGGAAGCCUGAUGCAGCAACGCCGCGUGCACGAUGAAGGCCUUCGGAUCGUAAAGUGCUUUUCUGGGAGAUGAGAAAGGACAGUAUCCCAGGAAUAAGUCUCGGCUAACUACGUGCCAGCAGCCGCGGUAAAACGUAGGAGGCAAGCGUUAUCCGGAUUCACUGGGCGUAAAGCGUGUGCAGGCGGUUCGGUAAGUUGGGCGUGAAAUCUCCCGGCUUAACUGGGAGAGGUCGUUCAAUACUACCGGACUAGAGAGCAGUAGAGGAAGAUGGAAUUCCCGGUGUAGUGGUGAAAUGCGUAGAUAUCGGGAGGAACACCAGUGGCGAAGGCGAUCUUCUGGACUGCUUCUGACGCUCAUACACGAAAGCUAGGGUAGUAAACGGGAUUAGAGACCCCGGUAAUCCUAGCUGUAAACGAUGUGAACUUGGCGUCGGUGGCUUAAACACUAUCGGUGCCGAAGCAAACGCGAUAAGUUCACCGCCUGGGGACUACGAUCGCAAGAUUAAAACUCAAAGGAAUUGACGG